GACGAACGCUGGCGGCGUGCCUAAUACAUGCAAGUCGAACGAAGCUGUUUUAACUGGUGCUUGCACCGACUUAAACAACUGAGUGGCGAACGGGUGAGUAACACGUGGGUAACCUGCCCCAAAGCGGGGGGUAACAUUUGGAAACAGAUGCUAAUACCGCAUAACCACAGAAACCACAUGGUUUCUGUGUCAAAGAUGGUUUCGGCUAUCACUUUGGGAUGGACCCGCGGCGUAUUAGCUAGUUGGUAAGGUAAUGGCUUACCAAGGCAAUGGAAGGAAGCCGAACUGAGAGGUUGAUCGGCCACAGUGGGACAGAGACACUGCCCAAACUCCUACGGGAGGCAGCAGUAGGGAAUCUUCCACAAUGGACGAAAGUCUGAUGGAGCAACGCCGCGUGAGUGAAGAAGGGUUUCGGAUCGUAAAACUCUGUUGUCAGAGAAGAACGUGUGCGAGAGUAACUGUUCGUGCAGUGACGGUAUCUGGCCAGAAAGCCACGGCUAACUACGUGCCAGCCGCCGCGGUAA
rnacentral:rRNA from 1 species